UGCUGCUGAUAAGGAGGCUUCGGGCGGCAGAGAGAGCAGAGCUGCCGUGUGUGUGCGGGGAGAUGGCGGGCUGGGAGACGGGCAGUGUUACGCCGGGUUGCCCGGAGCGGGUUCCCCGCCGUCACGGUGACAUGGUAGGCCGCUGGGUAAGAGCCGAGAAGUCGGCCGGCGGCUGUAGUCGGGGGUCAGGGUGGUGGAGAGCGCCAUGAGAUGGAGUGAGGGGAGACGGCACAAAAUGGCGGCCGUGGCAGGGCUGCAGUUGGCGGUUAGCGGGCUCCUGUGUGCUCCCGCGGGCUCUGCGCGGCCUCACUACAGGGGUACGUGGGGCAGAGUGAGCGGGGAUGCCGCUGUGAAGAGACCCCGGGGUCCCGUGUGGCCCUGACAUCCGACUGACACAUCCUCCCAGCAAUGGCGGCCAUGGAGGUGGACUAUGUUUUCAGGACUGUUAUCUCAUAUCUUUAAAGUGCAUGAUAUGCUGAAGCAUGCCAUUUGUAAUGGAAAACGGCAUGGGACUUAUCAUGAGGUAUUGAUCAACACUCAAGUACAAUUAUUGACCUUCAAGUCCAUGGGCAAUUGGAGUGGAGCCUACUGAUGAGAAGUAAAGGAUCUAAUAUGAUUUACAUGGGGCUUAAUGGAUUGGAUCCUACUUUAAUAUUGGCUAUUCACUUCAAGAACUGAUUAUUGGAACAUGGACUUCGUUGCUGAAACACCAAGAAAGUCUCUUUUGUUAGUAUUAACGUGCUAUUAUGUUUUUGUUUUGAGGCUUUUUUUUUUUUUUUACCAUUAUGUUUCUUUAUAAUAUUGAUACUGAUUCUUUACAUUUUUGUAAUGUAAAUUGUGAAGCCUUUUUUAAAAUAAAGAAAAACUUAU